rnacentral:rRNA from 1 species
GACGAACGCUGGCGGCGUGCUUAACACAUGCAAGUCGAACGGAAAGGCCCUGCUUUUGUGGGGUGCUCGAGUGGCGAACGGGUGAGUAACACGUGAGUAACCUGCCCUUGACUUUGGGAUAACUUCAGGAAACUGGGGCUAAUACCGGAUAGGAGCUCCUGCUGCAUGGUGGGGGUUGGAAAGUUUCGGCGGUUGGGGAUGGACUCGCGGCUUAUCAGCUUGUUGGUGGGGUAGUGGCUUACCAAGGCUUUGACGGGUAGCCGGCCUGAGAGGGUGACCGGCCACAUUGGGACUGAGAUACGGCCCAGACUCCUACGGGAGGCAGCAGUGGGGAAUAUUGCACAAUGGGCGGAAGCCUGAUGCAGCAACGCCGCGUGCGGGAUGACGGCCUUCGGGUUGUAAACCGCUUUCGCCUGUGACGAAGCGUGAGUGGUGGUAAUGGGUAAAGAAGCACCGGCUAACUACGUG